rnacentral:rRNA from 1 species
UUUUUGUUAAUAAUUUAAAGUCGAAUCUGCCCACUGAUUAAUAAUUAAAGGGCUGCAGUAUAUUGACUGUACAAAGGUAGCAUAAUAAUUAGUCUUUUAAUUGAAGACUUGUAUGAAAGAUUUGAUGAGAUAUAAACUGUCUCUUUUUUAUAAUUUGAAUUUAAUUUUUUAGUAAAAAAGCUAAAAUUUAUUUAAAAGACGAGAAGACCCUAUAGAGUUUUAUAAUUAAAUUAAUUAUGAAUUUAUAUUUAAUUUAAAAAUUAAUUAUUUUAAUUAUUUUAUUGGGGUGAUAAAAAAAUUAAUUUAACUUUUUUUUUAAAAAUAAACAUUAAUUAAUGAAUAAAUGAUCCAUUUUUUAUGAUUAUAAGAAAAAAUUACCUUAGGGAUAACAGCGUAAUUUUUUUUUUUAGUUCUUAUAAGAAAAAAAGUUUGCGACCUCGAUGUUGGAUUAAGAUAAAAUUUAAAUGCAGAAGUUUAAAAUUUUGAUCUGUUCGAUCAUUAAAAUCUUACAUGAUCUGAGC